GACGAACGCUGGCGGCGUGCUUAACACAUGCAAGUCGAACGGAAAGGCCCUGCUUGCAGGGUACUCGAGUGGCGAACGGGUGAGUAACACGUGGGUGAUCUGCCCUGCACUUCGGGAUAAGCUUGGGAAACUGGGUCUAAUACCGGAUAGGAGCCAUCUUUAGUGUGGUGGUUGGAAAGUUUUUUCGGUGUAGGAUGAGCUCGCGGCCUAUCAGCUUGUUGGUGGGGUAAUGGCCUACCAAGGCGGCGACGGGUAGCCGGCCUGAGAGGGUGUACGGCCACAUUGGGACUGAGAUACGGCCCAGACUCCUACGGGAGGCAGCAAUGGGGAAUAUUGCACAAUGGGCGCAAGCCUGAUGCAGCGACGCCGCGUGGGGGAUGAAGGCCUUCGGGUUGUAAACUCCUUGCGCUAGGGACGAAGCUUUGUUGUGACGGUACCUAGAUAAGAAGCACCGGCUAACUACGUG
rnacentral:rRNA from 1 species